ensembl:snoRNA
AGCCUCAUUCUGGAUAAGAAUGGGCACGGCUGACUUGCGUCCAAAAUCGGUCACUGCGGCUGAAUUGAGACAGGUGGUGCCUCUAUCAUAGUAAGUGUAUCACCAUGGUGACCAUAAAUCCUGCAACACUU